GGGGUGGUAGUUUAAUUGUCAGAAUAAUCGUCUUAUGAUCGAGAGAUGUGGGUUCGAAUCCCGCCCACUCCA
rnacentral:tRNA from 1 species